rnacentral:rRNA from 1 species
AUUGAACGCUGGCGGCAUGCCUUACACAUGCAAGUCGAACGGUAACAGGUCUUCGGAUGCUGACGAGUGGCGAACGGGUGAGUAAUACAUCGGAACGUGCCUAGUAGUGGGGGAUAACUACUCGAAAGGGUGGCUAAUACCGCAUGAGAUCUACGGAUGAAAGCAGGGGAUCGCAAGACCUUGUGCUACUAGAGCGGCCGAUGGCAGACUAGGUAGUUGGUGGGAUAAAAGCUUACCAAGCCGACGAUCUGUAGCUGGUCUGAGAGGACGAUCAGCCACACUGGGACUGAGACACGGCCCAGACUCCUACGGGAGGCAGCAGUGGGGAAUUUUGGACAAUGGGCGAAAGCCUGAUCCAGCAAUGCCGCGUGCAGGAUGAAGGCCUUCGGGUUGUAAACUGCUUUUGUACGGAACGAAAAGCCCCGGGUUAAUACCCUGGGGUCAUGACGGUACCGUAAGAAUAAGCACCGGCUAACUACGUGCCAGCCGCCGCAGUAA